GAAAUCAAGGGUGGGUGAGACCUCGUAAGAAAACGUGAAGGCGACCCAUACUUGGUUUCAG
rnacentral:pre_miRNA from 1 species